rnacentral:misc_RNA from 1 species
GAUGAAGAACGUAGCGAAAUGCGAUACUUGGUGUGAAUUGCAGAAUCCCGUGAACCAUCGAGUUUUUGAACGCAAGUUGCGCCCGAAGCCAUUAGGCCGAGGGCACGCCUGCCUGGGUGUCACACAUUGUUGCCCCAAUGCCAAUCGCCUCACUUUGUAGGUAUUUGCUUGGGGUGAAUGUUGGCCUCCCGUGAGCUCUGUCUCACGGUUGGUUGAAAAUCGAGUGCGUGGUGUCGGGUGUACCAUGAUGGAUGGUGGUUGAGUGAUGCUCGAGACCAAUCAUGGGUAACUCCACCAGAAUUGUGCUCGGUGACCCACAUGCGUCCCUUGGAUGCUCCCUAAGGAGACCUCAGGUCAGGCGGGGCUACCCGUUGAGUUUAAGCAUAUCAAUAAGCGGAGGA